rnacentral:tRNA from 3 species
AAGGCCCUAACUUAAUUAAAGUAUCUGGGUUGCAUUCAGGAGAUGCAGGUUAGUAUCCUGCGGGCCUUA